UCUGAAGAUUGUGAAGAACUGAAGGCUCGUUCAAAUAACUUAGUUGUGUAAGAUCAUCUACUUAGUCAAGUAUCUGAGGAUUGGUUGGUAGAAGGUCUUGAGUGGGA